GUGCUUGCUUUGGCAGCACUUAUACUAAAACUGGAAUGAUACAGAGAGGAUUAGCAUGGCCUCUGUGCAAGGGUGACAUGCAGAUUUAUGAGCGUUCCGUAUUUUU
ensembl:snRNA U6 U6 spliceosomal RNA